GAACGAGAGCUUAACCUGCUAAUUAGCGGUAAGUACACUAUAUUUUUAUUUGAAAUUGAAUAUAGGUAAUUAUACAUGUUUAUUCAGUGUUCAAAUUAGGAUAUUUUUUUAUUAAAAUAUUCUUUUCCCUGUUCUACUAUAAUAAUUUGUUUUUUUUUACUCUAUUCUCUCUUCUUUUAAGAAUGUACUUGUUUGAUUAAAUAAAGCUUCUUAGAGGAACAGUGUGUAUCUAACACAAGGAAGUUUAAGGCAACAACAGGUCUGUGAUGUCCUUAGAUAAACUAGGCUGCACGCGUGCUACAAUGAUAUAUAUAACAAGUUGUUAAAAAUAGUACUUAUAAAUAAGUGUGUAUAGUUUUUCCUGUACUGAAAAGUAUAGGUAAUCUUUAUCAGU
rnacentral:rRNA from 1 species